GCUCCGAUGGUCUAGUGGUUAGAGCGUCCGCCACAAAUGCGGGAGGUCGUGGGUUCGAUCCCCAGUUGAGUCA